CUUGAACGCUGGCGGCAGGCUUAACACAUGCAAGUCGAGCGGAGAUGAGGUGCUUGCACCUUAUCUUAGCGGCGGACGGGUGAGUAAUGCUUAGGAAUCUGCCUAUUAGUGGGGGACAACAUUCCGAAAGGAAUGUUAAUACCGCAUACGUCCUACGGGAGAAAGCAGGGGAUCUUCGGACCUUGCGCUAAUAGAUGAGCCUAAGUCGGAAUAGCUAGUUGGUGGGGUAAAGGCCUACCAAGGCGACGAUCUGUAGCGGGUCUGAGAGGAUGAACCGCCACACUGGGACUGAGACACGGCCCAGACUCCUACGGGAGGCAGCAGUGGGGAAUAUUGGACAAUGGGGGGAACCCUGACCCAGCCAUGCCGCGUGUGUGAAGAAGGCCUUAUGGUUGUAAAGCACUUUAAGCGAGGAGGAGGCUACUGAGACUAAUACUCUUGGAUAGUGGACGGUACUCGCAGAAUAAGCACCGGCUAACUCUGUGCCAGCAGCCGCCGUAAUAC
rnacentral:rRNA from 1 species